UACGUAGGGACCGAGCGUUGUCCGGAAUCAUUGGGCGUAAAGAGCGUGUAGGCGGCCACUUAAGUCCUGCGUGAAAUCUUGCGGCUCAACCGCAAGCGGUCGUGGGAAACUGGGUGGCUAGAGUGCGGGAGAGGAGAGUGGAAUUCCUGGUGUAGCGGUGGAAUGCGCAGAUAUCAGGAAGAACACCCGUGGCGAAGGCGGCUCUCUGGAACGCAACUGACGCUGAGAAGCGAAAGCGUGGGGAGCGAACAGG
rnacentral:rRNA from 1 species